UACGAAGGGGGCUAGCGUUGUUCGGAAUCACUGGGCGUAAAGCGCACGUAGGCGGAUCUUUAAGUCAGAGGUGAAAUCCCAAGGCUCAACCUUGGAACUGCCUUUGAUACUGGGGAUCUUGAGUCCGGGAGAGGUGAGUGGAACUGCGAGUGUAGAGGUGAAAUUCGUAGAUAUUCGCAAGAACACCAGUGGCGAAGGCGGCCAACUGGUCCAUUACUGACGCUGAGGUGCGAAAGCGUGGGGAGCAAACAGG
rnacentral:rRNA from 1 species